CUGUUAGGUUAGGGGUUCAGUACACGGGCCACUGUUAGGUUAGGGGUUCAGUACACGGGCCACUGUUAGGUUAGGGGUUCAGUACACGGGCCACUGUUAGGUUAGGGGUUCAGUACACGGGCCACUGUUAGGUUAGGGGUUCAGUACACGGGCCACUGUUAGGUUAGGGGUUCAGUACACGGGCCACUGUUAGGUUAGGGGUUCAGUACACGGGCCACUGUUAGGUUAGGGGUUCAGUACACGGGCCACUGUUAGGUUAGGGGUUCAGUACACGGGCCACUGUUAGGUUAGGGGUUCAGUACACGGGCCACUGUUAGGUUAGGGGUUCAGUACACGGGCCACUGUUAGGUUAGGGGUUCAGUACACGGGCCACUGUUAGGUUAGGGGUUCAGUACACGGGCCACUGUUAGGUUAGGGGUUCAGUACACGGGCCACUGUUAGGUUAGGGGUUCAGUACAGG